AGACCAAAAUACCCAAUUAGAAUCUAUCGAAAAGUAUUUUAUAAAGUACAAGACAUUAGCACUUGAAACGACCAAAAGGGUCGUUACAUUUCUGGUCCCUACUGUGCCCAUAUUUAACUAGAACAUAUAAUAUAUUCAAAGGGGAAAAGGAAGAAGUAUGUGUCUUUCUCUAUUCUAAGGAAAGAGAGAAGUAUGUGUCUUUCACUAUUAAAAGGAAAUGGAGAAGUACAUGUCUUUUUCUUUUCUAAGUAAAGGGAGAAGUAUGUAUCUUUUUCUAUUCUAAUGAAAUGGAGAAGUACAUGUCUUUUUCUAUUCUAAGGAAAGACAUAUAUUUUCUUUCCUCCUUUGGCUAGGAAGAAAUCUCUACAAAUAGAGAUUCUUGUAACCCUUGAAAGGAAUAAGUUUUCUAUAUAAUACUUGCUCGAUCAAGAAUUUGGAGAGUUGUAAUUAAAUUUGAGAUCACUGUUGAAGACCGCUGAACUGUCGUCCAAUUUUUGGAGAAGCUUUGCAUUCAAUUGAAGCUUCUAGCUUGUCGAUUAACGUGUGGGUUCACUUGAAGCAUUAAAGUCUAUCAAUUUGGUAUUAAAGAAGCAACUUUCGGGGAUGCUGAGUAGAAUGGAGGGAUGAGUCGAAUUGCACAAACUAAUUUGACAUAGGUGAGAGAAGAUGUCAGAAUGCUCAAAGUAUGGUUUCGAGGGAUAAGAUCUCUUGAGAUAAUAGAAGCACAUGGGAGAACCAUUAUGGUAGAAGCAUCCCUCUGUAGGAUUAGAUUAAUCCUAAACUUAUAAGAGGGAAGCAAUGUCCACUUGGCUAGACUAAACGAUUGGAAAAACUUUCAGAAACAACAACAACCAUAUUUCAAAGGAGAGGAUUGUUUUAGAUGGAUUUUAAAAGUGGAACAAUAUUUUUGCGAGUAUAUGAAAUUUGUUUAGUUGAAAUAUUACAGGACAUAGGUGUUUUUUUAAUUAAAGGCCUUAAAUUGCUAUUAUAGGAUAGUGUCUCAUCAACCAAUGUUAACGUUGGAAGACUUCAAAGGGAUUUGUUGAACCGAUCUCAUCAUUCUCUAAAGAUCAAUGAGUAUUGUGUCUUAAUGAGGCUAAAGCAGGUUAUUGCAGUAACCGCGUUUCGUAAAGAAUUGAAAAGGUGUCAGCAUCAAAAAAUAAUGUAGCUGCUGGAUUGUUAUCUCGCGUAAUUUUGAAUGGUAUGAAAGAGGAAAUUUGCCUCGUGUAAUUUUAUGAAUGUCUAGAAAGGUUGUGAUAUAGUUAAUCGUAGGUUAUGUAUUAUAUAACUAAAAUUCGUUCAAGUAUUAGGAUGUUAUUUAUGGUGUUGAUAGUGUCCUAGUAAUUGUUUUUCAGAUUUCUUUUUGUAAUACAAGUGUAUCUAGUGUGAAACGUCAAUAUUUUUUCAUUUGUUAACUAUUUCAACCGUGAAGUUAAUAUGUACCUUUUUAUGAAAUAGUCUAAAGAUCCCUUUUGAGCAAGCUAAUAAACUUAUGAGAAAAUGUCUCACAAUGA